ensembl:snRNA U6 U6 spliceosomal RNA
CUGCUUCAGUAGCAUAUAUCCUAAAACUGGAACAAUGCAGAGAAGAUUAGCAUGGCCCCUGUCCAAGAAUGACAUGAAAAUUCACAAAGUACUCUAUUUUUGU